rfam:Aedes albopictus isolate Foshan contig63317, whole genome shotgun sequence.
UGUUCUGUGGCUUAGUUGGUUAAAGCGCCGGUCUAGCGAAUACGGAGUUGUGGGUUCGAAUCCCACCAGAACGC